ACAGCAGAUGCAUCCAGAGAUCCUUAUGUUUUUAUUCAUUCAUUAGGAACACUGCUUGGUUAUCUUGAGUUGCCAGUUUAAUAGUUUUUUGAGUGUUUAUUCCUCCCAAAUCAUUCCGUUCUUUUUGAAAAGUUGUAUAUUUCCCUUUUCAGCUCUCAUUUCACUCUUCAGUGUUCCUGUUAUUUAUGAACGGCAUCAGGUAAUUUCCUAACUAACUGCUGACUUCAGAAUAGAGCACUCACUCUAUUACAUGGGAUUUACGGAUGUAUUAGUGCCCAUUUUCAAUGUCUUACAAAAAUGAGAAGUGUGAUGGUUUCUUAAGCCUUUAGCUUGACACAUAGUAGUGGUUAAUAAGAUUCUUUAGCAACGGUAAUAAUUCCUUUAUACCUCUCUUUCAGGCACAGAUAGAUCAUUAUCUAGGACUUGCAAAUAAGAAUGUUAAAGAUGCUAUGGCUAAAAUCCAAGCAAAAAUCCCUGGAUUGAAGCGCAAAGCUGAAUGAAAACGCCCAAAAUAAUUAGUAGGAGUUCAUCUUUAAAGGGGAUAUUCAUUUGAUUAUACGGGGGAGGGUCAGGGAAGAACGAACCUUGACGUUGCAGUGCAGUUUCACAGAUCGUUGUUAGAUCUUUAUUUUUAGCCAUGCACUGUUGUGAGGAAAAAUUACCUGUCUUGACUGCCAUGUGUUCAUCAUCUUAAGUAUUGUAAGCUGCUAUGUAUGGAUUUAAACCGUAAUCAUAUCUUUUUCCUAUCUAUCUGAGGCACUGGUGGAAUAAAAAACCUGUAUAUUUUACUUUGUUGCAGAUAGUCUUGCCGCAUCUUGGCAAGUUGCAGAGAUGGUGGAGCUAGAAAAAAAAAAAAAAAA
rnacentral:lncRNA from 1 species